rnacentral:lncRNA from 1 species
AUCAUCCGACGAUGUCUGUGGCCGCAACGGGGGGUGCUGGUUCUACUUCGAGCAUCCCCUCGCUGUCGGUUCCGUCGGUCGGGGCGGCCGAUCGAGGGAAAGCCCCGAUGGACCCCGCGGACGAAACAAGGUCGGGGAGCCGCUCUGUGCCGCCCAGCGCACAGUUCCCCGAAGGGGCGUCGGCAUUGGCUGACCACAACCUG